GACGAACGCUGGCGGCGUGCUUAACACAUGCAAGUCGAACGGUGAAGCGCCUUCCUUUUUGGUUGGUGUGGAUGAGUGGCGAACGGGUGAGUAACACGUGAGUAACCUGCCCCCUUCUUCUGGAUAACCGCAUGAAAGUGUGGCUAAUACGGGAUAUUCUGGGUCUGUCGCAUGAUGGGUCUGGGAAAGAUCUUGUUUCGGUGGGGGAUGGGCUCGCGGCCUAUCAGCUUGUUGGUGGGGUGAUGGCCUACCAAGGCGGUGACGGGUAGCCGGCCUGAGAGGGUGGACGGUCACACUGGGACUGAGACACGGCCCAGACUCCUACGGGAGGCAGCAGUGGGGAAUAUUGCACAAUGGGCGCAAGCCUGAUGCAGCGACGCCGCGUGAGGGAUGGAGGCCUGCGGGUUGUGAACCUCUUUCGCCAGUGAAGCAGGCCUGCCUCGUUUGUGGGUGGGUUGACGGUAGCUGGAUAAGAAGCGCCGGCUAACUACGUG
rnacentral:rRNA from 1 species